CAGGAAGCAGCCAUCUCAGGACAGGCAGUGACCUCGGGCUGAGAGCAGGGCGCCACACCAGCCUCACCACGAGCACCGCGAGGGAAGGAAGUGGCCCAGGUAAAGUCACUGCUGUCUGGAUCCCAACCUGCUGUCACUCCUGAGGGGUUCUUUGAAAAGCUCCCCCUUUGCCAACAUGUACUAUGGACUAAAUAAAUAAAACUAGAUACUUACUUACAUUUAAAAUUUUAAUGCCAAACAAUUAUUAUACUACAAGUUGAAUUCCCAUUCUCUUUUUUCUGCUGUGGAAACUGCCUGUUUCACUAAACUCUGCUGCACACAGAAACCCUACACAAAGUCCUGGCCUGUGGACUGUGCUGGUGUGGACAGGCACCACGUUUUGGAGCCAGGCCUGGGCCAGGCACUGAGCAUGGGGCCUCACGUGGCCUGUGUCUGGGCUGGAGCCCAGGAGAAACCUGCCCUUCAGAUCCGGAUGACGGGGCAGCCCAUAGGAGUGAGCCCAGGAGGAUGCUGGAGAGCCAUGGAGGGAGCUCUGGGCAGGACCCACUGCUCAGGGACAAGGCCAGAGGCCCCGAGGGAGCUGCUACCUUCAGGGCCUCAUCCAAGUUCCCGCUGGCUGCGUGGAGUGCCUGCUGGGCCGCGUGCGUGGAGUAACCCAUCCCUUUCAGAAACCUGAUGUUCUCCAGGCGGCGUCUUUUCUUCUCUUUUUCCUCCUUCCUUAUUUGGGCCAGUUCCUUUAGGAAAACAGCAAAGUCCCAUCCCAAGUUAGGGACUGAGAUUUCACAGCCUCUCAGUCUGCGCUCUGCAGGAUUCUCCGCAUUUCCAGGCAAAGCCAAAAAACCAAAGCAAAGCACAGGGGGCCCUCUUUCCACCUCUCCUCACCCAGCCAAAUGGCAGAGGUGCCACAGAGGCAGAGGGGUGGUGGAAGUGCUGCUUCUGAGGGCAGGCAGUGGAAGUGAGAUGCCCAUGGGGCAGGAAGGAGG